AUGUCUCAGGAACCUGCCCCACCUCUAACUAGAGAUAAGUCUUCUUGUCCCAUAGUAGAAAGCUAGUGUUAUACACAGAUCAAAAUAGUAAAAUGUUGAACACAUAGACAAUUAAUAACUUCAGUUUUUGUCAAGAGGAAAUGGGUGAGGCGUUAAAAAGUUCCAAAUUUUCACCUGGCCCAAAUGACAAAAUGAAAUGGUGUCUGAGGGUAAACCCAAAAGCAUUAGAUAAUGAAAGUAAAGACUACUUGGUCCUUAUAUUUGCUUUUAGUCAGAUGCCCCAAAAGUGAAGUGUGAGCAAAAUUCAAAUGUUCCCUUCUGAAUGCUAAAAGGGAAGAAACAAAAGCAAUGGAAAGCAAAAGAGCAUAUCAAUUUGUGCAAGGGAAGGGCUGGGAUUUUUAAAAAUUCAUUAGAAGAGACCUUUUGCUUGACGAAGCUAAUAGUCUUUGACCAGAUGACAAGCUUACAUUAUUUUACAAGAUGAGUGUGAUCCAAGAUUCAGUAAACAAAUCAGGACAUACUAAUACAAAUACUUUCAAGAUGCCUGAGGGUCGACUAGGAGAAGACUGAGGUAAUCUCUGGGAAAACACAAGAUUUAUAGACUGCAGUUUUUUAGUGAGAGGACAAGAAUUUAAAGCUCAUAAAUCUGCUUGUACCUGAAUCCCUAGUUUUUAAUGCCAUGUUUGAACAUGAAAUGGAAGAAAGCAUAAAGAAUUGAGUGGAAAUAAAUGAUUUAGACCCUGAUGUUUUUAAAGAAAUGGUGAGAUUCCUUAACACAGUGAAAGGAUUAAACCUUGACAAAAUGGCUGACAACUUGUUGGCAGGUGCAGACAAACAUGCACUGGGAACAGCUGAAGGUCUUGUGUGAGGAAGCUUUGUGUAGUAAUCCCUCAGUAGAAAAUGUUGCUGAUACCCUUGUCCUUGCAGAUUUUCAUGUUGCAAAACAGUUGAAAGCAAAAGCCAUAGACAUUAUUAAUAGGUGCAGUGUACUUCAACAACUUGGGUGUAAAGAUUAGAAAAACUGAAACAGCAACCAAGCAACCAAUGUAAUGGAAACAUCAAGGUGGAAGUCCAUGAUUCAGUCUCACCCUUACUUAGCAGCAGAAGCCUUCUGAGCACUAGCAUCUGCACAGUGUCCACAGUUUGGCAUUCCACACACACGGCUAAAACAGUCCUAA
rnacentral:lncRNA from 1 species